rnacentral:rRNA from 1 species
AGCGAACGCUGGCGGCAGGCCUAACACAUGCAAGUCGAACGAACCCUUCGGGGUUAGUGGCGGACGGGUGAGUAACACGUGGGAACGUGCCUUUAGGUUCGGAAUAACUCAGGGAAACUUGUGCUAAUACCGAAUGUGCCCUUCGGGGGAAAGAUUUAUCGCCUUCAGAGCGGCCCGUGUCUGAUUAGCUAGUUGGUGAGGUAAUGGCUCACCAAGGCUACGAUCAGUAGCUGGUCUGAGAGGAUGACCAGCCACAUUGGGACUGAGACACGGCCCAAACUCCUACGGGAGGCAGCAGUGGGGAAUCUUGCGCAAUGGGCGAAAGCCUAACGCAGCCAUGCCGCGUGGAUGAUGAAGGUCUUAGGAUUGUAAAAUCCUUUCGCCGGUGAAGGUAAUGACUGUAGCCGGAGAAGAAGCCCCGGCUAACUUCGUGCCAGCCGCCGCUGUAAAAC